AUUGAACGCUGGCGGCAUGCUUUACACAUGCAAGUCGAACGGCAGCGCGGGCUUCGGCCUGGCGGCGAGUGGCGAACGGGGGAGUAAUGCAUCGGAACGUGCCCAGGAGUGGGGGAUAGCCCGGCGAAAGCCGGAUUAAUACCGCAUACGACCGGAGGGUGAAAGCGGGGGACCGAAAGGCCUCGCGCUAUUUGAGCGGCCGAUGUCGGAUUAGCUAGUUGGUGGGGUAAAGGCUUACCAAGGCGACGAUCCGUAGCUGGUCUGAGAGGACGACCAGCCACACUGGGACUGAGACACGGCCCAGACUCCUACGGGAGGCAGCAGUGGGGAAUUUUGGACAAUGGGGGCAACCCUGAUCCAGCCAUGCCGCGUGCGGGAAGAAGGCCUUCGGGUUGUAAACCGCUUUUGUUCGGGAAGAAAUCCUCUGGGCUAAUACCCCGGGGGGAUGACGGUACCGGAAGAAUAAGCACCGGCUAACUACGUG
rnacentral:rRNA from 1 species